UCCCUGGAGGACUAGUGGUUAGGCCUCAGCAGUCUCACUGCACCGGCCUGGGUUUGAUUCCCAGCCAGGGCU